rnacentral:lncRNA from 1 species
AGAACCUUGGGGGAUCCUGAAGGAAGAGGGGAAACCGGGGAAACCAGGAAAACAGAGGAAGUUAACUUAGGAAGGGUAAGGGAAGAAGAAUGCAAGAUUGACGUUGCAGAAGCCAGAGGCCAGGGCUAAGAACAGGAGCCUGUGAACUUGUUGUUUCUGAAAAAGGAGUCAGUUGCUAUUGGAAUAUUAUUUAAGGAGACACAUGUCAAUGCCAUUCUACAAAAAUGACACUUGACCCUGGAACUCAGCUUGGCCAAACCUACCUCUGAUCCAAAUUGUGCUCUCGGUUAUAACUUCAUCAAUGGCGUUUCUCCAAGGCCAAAGUCAAACCUCUGCCAGAGGAAGAUGUAAAUAUUCAGAGCAAAAUAUUGCAUACCUGGCCCACAUGAGUCACUUAUGAGGAAGAGGGAGUUAGUUCUAAGAAUAAUAAUUAUCUU